ensembl:lncRNA
GUCAUCCACUCAUCAGUUAUUUAUUAAGCACCCACGAUGUGCCAGGUCCUCUGCCAGGAGGGUAGGAGAUUAUGACAAAUAUAGUCCCAGUCUUUCCCCUCGUGGAGACAACUGUCAAGUGGGGGAGAAACGCCAUGAGAAAGUAUUCACCGCACAGCAUCCCAGCUUUGAUAGCUCACGUACAGAGUAAACGUGCACGUGAGCACACGGUGGAGGCGCAUGGCUUGCAGGAAAGGGGCACCUGGGUUGAGACCUGAAGGCGGAACAGGCAGGCGGAGAUGGGGGAAGGACACUCCCUGUGAAGGGUAGGAGGUACGAAGGUGAGUGGAGAGAGCGCGGAGGGAGGGUUGAGUCUGAUGUUGAGAGUAGAGUCCAACUGGAGAGGUAACAAAGGACCUCGUGGGCCGCUUAAGGAACAGGAACUUUGUCCCAAGAGCAGGCUUGGGGGCUUCAAGCCGGGAGGGACGUGGGGAGGUUCUGUUUCAAAGAUAAGUCUGGCUCCAGUGUGGACAAUGGGUUGCAGUGGAUGGCGGGGGAGGAAGCGCUGAGCACUUACGGUGCCAGGAAGCCCGCUGGAAAGCUGGGACAGAGGAGAUGCGGGCUGGGGGGGUGGAGGAAGCCUGGGGCAGGGCACGGGCAGGGGGGUCGAGAGAACGGGUGAGAGCAAAUGAUGCCCCAACUUCUUCCUGUAAAGAUUUUCACCGUGCUGAAGGGUUGAAGGAACAGCUGAUGAACAAUGCGUCUCCACCUCGAUCCAGCCAUCGUGAACAUGUCCCCUCAUUUGCUUUCUCCUGACGGGUAGAUAGCAACAGGUAGAUUUCCUUUUUCUGAACCGUUUGACAGUGUGUUGCAGACACGACGACGCUUUGUCCCUGAGUCCCUCAGCUGCAUCUCCCGAAUAAGGACGUUUUCCUCCUGAACCACAAGACCAGUAUCACACUGGAAAGUCAGCAGGAACGGCAUCUGCUGUCUGGUCUGCGUUCGGAUUCCCGCGGUUAUUCCCAGGCUGUCUUUUAUGGUUGGGUUUUGUUUGUUUUGAAAGCGAGGGACCAUCAAGUUUCCAGCGUUGCAUUUGGUUUCGUCUCUCUGGUCUCCAAGAAAGAUUCUGGAGGUGGAAUGCACAGCGCUCGGCUUAUCUGCCCCCAGCAUCCUGCCCGUCCUGUUCCUCGUGGGCCCUCGAGAGAUCGCCGUGGGUGAAUAGAUGAAGCCGGGCGUGGGCCAUCCGGACCCUGCUUGGCCCGGCUCCCAGGAGCCUGCAGGGCGGGCUGGGUCGCAGUCAGGCAUCCAGCUGGGCCCGGAGGAAGGAAUUACUCCAAGUGGUGUCCUUGGGACCUUUCCUGCGGCACUAAGAGCAUCGGGCAAACCCUGUCGCUGACGCUGGCCUUGCCACCUUGUUGGGCAGCCGGGCAUCAAUCGCUCCACAAAUGGUGACUGAUCACCUGCUCUGAGCUAGAGAUCAAGACAGACAGACAGAGGGACAGACUGCUGCCCUGGCCCUGCCCCCAGCCAAGGGUGAUGAUCCUGCUCCCUGGCCCCAGAGCAGAUUCUCCCGGGCCCUCCCCGAGGGCCCCUCCCCCAUACCUGCUGUAACCUGCUCUGGGCUCUGGCGUGGGAAAGGGCCAGCAGCGCCAAGGGCCCUCCGCAGCUUCCACACUGUGGAAACUCAUGGGGGGCCCCCGCCAAGAGAUGCACGUUCUCAUUCCGCCUAAUAUAGAAAGGCCAAACCAGCAAGCACGGUGACCCGUCAUAAGCAGCCGGCCCCCCCCCGCCAGCGCACAUCUGCAGAACCCGGGACCAGGAGCCCCGCCUGCUUCUCCUGGAGGACCAGUUCUUGGAAGCCCCUCGCGGCGGCACCUCCUGCUCAACCGUGUGUGUCGUCUGUGUUCCAGUCACAGUGGCCUCCGGAUGAGGGGUCAGCUUGUUUCGACAUGACACGGGCCCUCACUUCUCCCAGGAGUUCAGAAAACGCCUUUUUACAGCCCUGCUUCUCCGAGCUGCUCCUCGCGCGCUGCCCCGGGCCUUCCUCCGCCUGCACAGACCCUGCUGCGCCCGGCCUGGCUCGAGGGAAGAGUUCCUCAGAGCUAAAUAUUUCAACCCAAAUUGGAAAAAAAAAAAAAAUCCCCACCCCCCCAUUGCCCAAGAAACAGGGCUCAUUUCCCCUUCUGUGUUCUUUCUGAGUCACAGGCAGCGGGUUCCGAGAACGACGGGCUGGAGGGGACAGCGACAGUGUUCUCCAUCGGUCCUGGCCAAGCUGUGAGCCGCCGUUUCGUCGUCUCGCGGCCAGGAAGAGUGUGGCAGGAGUGAGCGUCCGAGCGCCAGGCAUCAGUGGAAGCCAGGAGCGAAUGAGGACGGAGUGAGUCAGCCCUGGCGGGGGCAGGGUCAAGAGCAGGCACCAACAACACGCCACAGCCACAGACAAGACCGACUGGUUCCGUGGUGGCUGGUUCUGUCCCACGCGCUUCCGUCGCAGUUCCUGAAAUGUCAGCCUUAUCCCUCAACUCCACAUGACAGCCAUUCCUGUCCUUGCUUUGACUUGACCCGUGCAUGCCUUCCAACCCACAGCCUCCCCAUGUUCAUUGUUCAGUUUAAUUUUCUAAAGAGAGUGAGAACACUUUUCCCUUUUCCUUGGUUUCUUGACUGAUUUUUCUCGCUACUUGGGGAUGGGUAAAAUAUCACCUUCCUGAGAAAGGGCGGGAAGGAAUUCUUGCCCAGAGACACGAUGCGCAGUGUCUUGCUUUGGGGCCUUAAGUUGGCUGUCACAGCUCCCAGCCACACGUCCUCAAGGGCGGGGAGCAAAUAGGAAGAAAAGGGCGGAAGCCACAGGCUUUUCUCCCCACACUGCUCUCUCUUUUAUCAG